UUACUCUGAUUUCCCUUCAAUGAACGUAUAAAUCUUUCGCCUUUUACUAAAGAUUUCCGUGGAGGGGAAUGUCUUGAUGAGUCUAUAUUAAUUUUUUUGUAUACCCAGCGAAAGCUGGGUU
rnacentral:snRNA from 1 species